rnacentral:rRNA from 1 species
AGGACAAACGCUGGCGGCGUACUUAAGACAUGCAAGUCGAACGGGCGCUUCACCUUCGGGUGGGUGUGCUAGUGGCGGACGGGUGAGUAACGCGUAGGAACCUGUCAUCAAGAGGGGGAUAACGCUGGGAAACCGGCGCUAAUACCGCAUGUGGUCAUGAAAAUGAAGAAAGCAGCAAUGCGCUUGAUGAGGGGCCUGCGUCCGAUUAGCUUGUUGGUGGGGUAAAGGCCUACCAAGGCAUCGAUCGGUAGCUGGUCUGAGAGGAUGGUCAGCCACACUGGGACUGAGACACGGCCCAGACUCCUACGGGAGGCAGCAGUUAGGAAAUUUUCCCAAUGGGCGCAAGCCUGAGGGAGUAACGCCGCGUGGAGGAUGACGGCUUUCGGUUGUAAACUCCUUUCUGUGGGAGAGUAGAAGACGGUACCGCAGGAAUAAGCCUCGGCUAACUACGCGCCAGCAGCCGC